AUCCCUUGACAUCCUGCGAACUUUCUAGAGAUAGAUUGGUGCCUUCGGGAACGCAGUGACAGGUGCUGCAUGGCUGUCGUCAGCUCGUGUCGUGAGAUGUUGGGUUAAGUCCCGCAACGAGCGCAACCCUUAUCUUUAGUUGCUACCAUUUAGUUGAGAACUCUAAAGAGACUGCCGGUGAUAAACCGGAGGAAGGCGGGGACGACGUCAAGUCAUCAUGGCCCUUAUGGGAUGGGCUACACACGUGCUACAAUGGAGGGUACAAAGAGCAGCCAACUGGCGACAGUGCGCGAAUCUCAUAAAACCUCUCGUAGUCCGGAUCGGAGUCUGCAACUCGACUCCGUGAAGUCGGAAUCGCUAGUAAUCGUGAAUCAGAAUGUCACGGUGAAUACGUUCCCGGGCCU
rnacentral:rRNA from 1 species